AGGGGAUCUUCCGCAAUGGGCGAAAGCCUGACGGAGCAACGCCGCGUGAGUGAUGAAGGUCUUCGGAUCGUAAAACUCUGUUAUUAGGGAAGAACAAAUGUGUAAGUAACUAUGCACGUCUUGACGGUACCUAAUCAGCAAGCCACGGCUAACUACGUGCCAGCAGCCGCGGUAAUACGUAGGUGGCAAGCGUUAUCCGGAAUUAUUGGGCGUAAAGCGCGCGUAGGCGGUUUUUUAAGUCUGAUGUGAAAGCCCACGGCUCAACCGUGGAGGGUCAUUGGAAACUGGGAGACUUGAGUGCAGAAGAGGAGAGUGGAAUUCCAUGUGUAGCGGUGAAAUGCGUAGAUAUAUGGAGGAACACCAGUGGCGAAGGCGGCUCUCUGGUCUGUAACUGACGCUGAGGCUCGAAAGCGUGGGGAGCGAAC
rnacentral:rRNA from 1 species